GUAGUGGUAGGAGAGCGUUCUAAGGGCGUUGAAGGUCGAUCGUGAGGACGGCUGGAGCGCUUAGAAGUGAGAAUGCCGGUAUGAGUAGCGAAAGACAGGUGAGAAUCCUGUCCACCGUAUGACUAAGGUUUCCUGGGGAAGGCUCGUCCGCCCAGGGUUAGUCGGGACCUAAGCCGAGGCCGAUAGGCGUAGGCGAUGGACAACAGGUUGAUAUUCCUGUACCAGUUGUUUUUGUUUGAGCAAUGGAGGGACGCAGUAGGCUAAGGAAUGCAUGCGAUUGGAAGUGCAUGUCCAAGCAAUGAGUCUUGAG
rnacentral:rRNA from 1 species